rnacentral:rRNA from 1 species
UACGAAGGGGGCUAGCGUUGCUCGGAAUCACUGGGCGUAAAGGGUGCGUAGGCGGGUCUUUAAGUCAGGGGUGAAAUCCUGGAGCUCAACUCCAGAACUGCCUUUGAUACUGAAGAUCUUGAGUUCGGGAGAGGUGAGUGGAACUGCGAGUGUAGAGGUGAGAUUCGUAGAUAUUCGCAAGAACACCAGUGGCGAAGGCGGCUCACUGGCCCGAUACUGACGCUGAGGCACGAAGGCCAGGGGAGCAAACGGG